CUGCCAUCAGCUCAUUGCUAUUAACAUUCUUGCUGGGUAAGCAUUCAGCACCCAGAAAUACCCCAGGAGAUCUAACUCAGAUCUGUUCCUGGUUACUGAAGAGAGUUCACUCCGAACAAGGAUACAGAGGGGCUGUUUUCUCACGGGGUCCAUUUCCAUACUCCGUGCUGGGUGAGCUGAGAACAGCGAGUAUGGAAAUUUUCACCAAAAGAUCUGAGUUGAGGUGGUCUCCUUUCCAAGAGGCCUUGAAGUGGUCUGCUUUAGGGCUAGGGUCCUGCAAUUCAGCUGGCCUUUGCAUCUGAGGAUCAACAAGACACGGGAACAGAGCCAGGGUCUUGCUGGACGGAGAAGAGCAAUCCUGGACCAGCCAAUGGGAGGGUGCCGAAUGUCAGGGGGCAUCAGUCUCAGGGAUGAUGAGCUCCUCCUGAAAUUCUGCGUUCUGGCCAUCUUGCUAGCCUCAGCCUAGCCCUGGCCUUGAGGACAAGCCCAGCACAGAGAGGUCAGCAGGAUAAAGGAAUGAACAAAUGAAGCGAUCAGGGAAGAACAGUCAUUGGAAAUCUCCAAAUACCGGGUGUGUUCACAACCUUCCAACAGCCUGUUUCACAGAAGUUCACGAUGAGCAGAUGAACGGGCCUCAGAACUGUGCUUGUCUUAGCUCAGGCUGCUACAGCAACAGAAGAUAGGCCGGCAGCUUAAAGAAGACUGAUCCAUAAUAUGCUGGGGGUGGGGAUGGGAGGAUUAAAUGAACUCUAGAUAGGGCAAAGGGGAAAAGAGCAAAGACAGGAAGGAGGGAGAACAGGGGUAGGAAAGAUGGUGGAAUGCGAUGGUCAUCAUUACCCUAAGUAAAUGUAAGAAAACACGAAGGAUGUGACCCUACUUUGUGGACAACCAGAGAGCUGAAAAAUUGCGCUCUACACGUGUAAUUUGAAUUGUAAUGCAUUCUGUUGUCAUAUACAAAAUAUCAAAAAAAUUUUUAAAAAGAACUGUGGCACCUAAAAAUAAAAAAUAAAACAUUUUGAUUUCUCACAA